AUUGAACGCUGGCGGCAGGCCUAACACAUGCAAGUCGAGCGGCAGCGGGAAAGUAGCUUGCUACUUUUGCCGGCGAGCGGCGGACGGGUGAGUAAUGCCUGGGGAUCUGCCCAGUCGAGGGGGAUAACUACUGGAAACGGUAGCUAAUACCGCAUACGCCCUACGGGGGAAAGCAGGGGACCUUCGGGCCUUGCGCGAUUGGAUGAACCCAGGUGGGAUUAGCUAGUUGGUGGGGUAAUGGCUCACCAAGGCGACGAUCCCCAGCUGGUCUGAGAGGAUGAUCAGCCACACUGGAACGGAGACACGGUCCAGACUCCUACGGGAGGCAGCAGUGGGGAAGAUUGCACAAUGGGGGAAACCCAGAUGCAGCCAUGCCGCGUGUGUGAAGAAGGCCUUCGGGUUGUAAAGCACUUUCAGCGAGGAGGAAAGGUUGGUAGCUAAUAACUGCCAGCUGUGACGUUACUCGCAGAAGAAGCACCGGCUAACUCCGUGCCAGCAGCCGCCGUAAAAC
rnacentral:rRNA from 1 species